rnacentral:rRNA from 1 species
AACGAACGCUGGCGGCGUGCCUAACACAUGCAAGUCGAACGAGAUCUUCGGGUCUAGUGGCGCACGGGUGCGUAACGCGUGGGAAUCUGCCCUUUGGUUCGGAAUAACAGUUGGAAACGACUGCUAAUACCGGAUGAUGACGAAAGUCCAAAGAUUUAUCGCCAGAGGAUGAGCCCGCGUAGGAUUAGCUAGUUGGUGUGGUAAAGGCGCACCAAGGCGACGAUCCUUAGCUGGUCUGAGAGGAUGAACAGCCACACUGGGACUGAGACACGGCCCAGACUCCGAAGGAAGGCAGGUGUGGCGAGUAUAUGACAAUGGGCGAAACCCUGAUCCAGCGAUGCCGUGUGCGUGCUGAAGGCCGUAGGGUUGUAAAGCUCUUUUACCCGGGAUGAUAAUGACAGUACGGGGAGAAUAAGCGCCGGCUAACUCCGUGCCAGCCGCCGCGGUAA